CUCGGGCUGCUCUUGGAUAGGAUCAGUCUCAGAGAAAUUGUCCUCAUACCGUGCAUCAAGUAAGGUUUUCUGUAUGAUUGUAUAUAUGGAAAAGUAUAUAAAGCUUAACAAUUGAAACUUAUAUAUCUGUAACAUUGGCCCAAAUUUCCCGGGCCAAAUUUGAAUACAAACCAGCCAAUGACGUGAAGGCGCAUGAGCGAACGUCACGUAAUUGGUCACGCUGAGAGUCACAGAACAACGAACGAAACCAUUAACUAGCGAGUCGAAGAUUGUGUGCAUUUGCAUCCUGACGCAUUUAGGUUCUCUUAAAAUCUUCACGCAUGGAAGCCCCUGGAUUACGAGCUAAUCCAAAGAAAACUGCAAAGGCUCUUGAACUGACGGAUUCAAUCCCUAUUCCAAAGCAACCACACAAGAGAGACUUAACAAGAGCUGUAAUUAUUAUUAUUAUUCAACUUAAUUUCACAAGCUUAAUGCAUGAGACUUAUUUCACAGGAUUACGUCACAAUGAUAAAGAUUAAAUGUUUUUUAUUUUGAUUGUAGUGACAAAAGUUUUACUUUGUAGUGGUAAAUUGUGUUGAAAUCUUGACCUUGACACUGUCCUGUGCUAAGACCCUGACAAAACAGGCAGCCACACACAUGGUUGAUGCCCUGAAGGAGGAACUGAGAAAACAAAAAGUACCUGAUCCUAACACGGCCCCACCACUUUAAGACUCUGACUUAGACUCUGACGCAACAGCCAUUUCUGAAGAAUCCUCUCCCAUGAAGGAACCAAUAAGAAUUCAUGAAUCAGAAAGUGAGGAUGAUAGCCCAUCACAGUGCCCAAAAAAGAAACCAAAGCUUGACAAUGAAAUUGUCAGUGCAUUGAAAGAGUUGCCAAAGGUAGUAAAAACCCUAAAAGAUAUAGUGGCGACCAUGAUGGUGGCUCCAGCCUCAUCGAGUCAAGUGCAAGAUACAUUUGUUGGAUCACCGCCUGCAGAAAUGAUAUACCUGGGAGAAGGAAUCAACAUUCCAAAAAAGACAUUCGAUCGAUUGUCUAAGACCAAAAUGUCAGUGUUUACCCAGGAGCUGGCAGUUGUCAUUUUUGGACGCGAGGUUCUGGCGACAUCAAGUCUAACGGGCAAAAAAACCAACAAAACAGCGCUGGACUCCAUCAAAGUGAAUGCGCUCAUCGAUGCUGUGAUUUCUCGUUUUGAAGGGACCACUCCUUCCCAAAUCAGGGCUUUACUUCGACAAAAGUGUUACAAUGAGGGUUAUGCUAAAAAAAUUCAGGAAAGUGGUGUGUUUAAAGGUGAUAAUAAUUAAUUGAGCAUUUGUAAAAGGCUGAAGUGACCUACUAAAAGGGUAGUCAAUUAAAAGUUCUAGCAGUUCUUUAUUUGUUCUCUGUAGUGUUAGUGUCUAUGUCUGUUGUUAAAAUGUGAAAAAUUCAUACUGUAAGUUAACUCUUUUGAUUGUUUUAUUUAAUUAUGCAAUAUUGAUACUUGUUUGAUUCAAAUUUUACAAUAUUAAACUAUUCUGCUCAUGUUUUUUUCUAAUGUAUUUGUUUUAUUAUAAAUGUAAGCAUUGGGGGCUUUGUUUGUUCGCAAUGCAUUCAACUGAAAUUAAUGCAUAUUUAAUUAACUACAAUUACUUUUCAGU
ensembl:lncRNA